rnacentral:rRNA from 1 species
GACGAACGCUGGCGGCGUGCUUAACACAUGCAAGUCGAGCGGUAAGGCCCUUUCGGGGGUACACGAGCGGCGAACGGGUGAGUAACACGUGGGUGACCUGCCCUCAGCUCUGGGAUAAGCCUGGGAAACCGGGUCUAUACUGGAUAUGACUCCAUGACGCAUGUUGUGGGGUGGAAAGCCUUGUGCGGCUGAGGAUGGGCCCGCGGCCUAUCAGCUUGUUGGUGGGGUGANGGCCUACCAAGGCGACGACGGGUAGCCGGCCUGAGAGGGCGACCGGCCACACUGGGACUGAGACACGGCCCAGACUCCUACGGGAGGCAGCAGUGGGGAAUCUUGCGCAAUGGGCGAAAGCCUGACGCAGCGACGCCGCGUGAGGGAUGACGGCCU